AGAAAAGGAUAAUUCAGGACCAAUAGGUUGAUGAUAAACAAGUUGCUUAUUGACCGAACAAUCCUUCAGUUUAAGCCAUUCAUCAACCGUCUUGUCACACUCUGCCUCAAUCAUCCUGACGCCACAGUCAUUACACUUCAUGAAUGGCCGGCCUGUGUCGUCUGAUCGCCGGAACCGCCCACAUGUCACGUAGAACUCGUUCAACCAGUAGAAAGUGGUUUCCUUAAUGCGCAUAUUGGUUAGCCCUUGGGUUGCGUCACUACUGAAGAAGUAUACACCUUUUAGAUAGUGAAGCUUCAUGGCCAAAUCCAACCCUCUUGGCUCGUAGACCACGUCCGGAGCCGUUGCCCUGCCCGGACCAACGGAUGAAAUCUGGAUGUUAUAGACCAGAUUCUGGUCAUUACAAGAAACCAUGGUAAUGUUGACGGUUGGAAAUUAAGGAAGAGAAAUGGAAAGAAAAGAAAAGAGAAGAAAAGAAA
rnacentral:misc_RNA from 1 species